rnacentral:lncRNA from 11 species
GCAAGACUGAGGGAGAGGAGCCCCGCCCAGGGAGCGCGUCACGGGCAGGCCCCACCCCCGCCCUGGAAAGAUGGCUGCGCCCUUGUGGGGUGUCUGGCUGUGCCUGGCCUUCGGCUGGGAGGCAGCGCGGGGCCCAGGGGUGGUGUGGAGCAAGAGCCCCUGCGGGAGGAGAAGGAGGAAAUCAUGCUGCACGUGAGGCCCAAGUGGAGCCUGGUGGCUUGCAUGUCUAUGGAGCCCUCUUGCACCUGAACAAGACCUGAGGCCAGGCCUCUAGGCCCGCUGCCCCACCUGCACCUUUCCUGGAUUCCUCCCGCGACGCCCGGCAGCCCUCCGUGGCUGGAAGGAGCUCCUCAGAUGCACGGAGCUCCGGCAGGUCGAGCAGGCCUGCGCCCCUGCCAUGCACCUCCUUGGGGACCCUCUCAGCCGUGAAGACGGGGCAGGUAGGAGCCCGUCCCUGUCCCU